GGUGGUUCUUGGGUGAUGCACCCCAGAAUCGGGCUCCUUCCUCUCUGGUUCUGGGUGCAUCACCUGAGAACCGCA
rfam:Myotis brandtii contig315325, whole genome shotgun sequence.